GACGAACGCUGGCGGCGUGCCUAAUACAUGCAAGUUGAGCGCUGAAGGCUGGUACUUGUACCAACUGGAUGAGCAGCGAACGGGUGAGUAACGCGUGGGGAAUCUGCCUUUGAGCGGGGGACAACAUUUGGAAACGAAUGCUAAUACCGCAUAAAAACUUUAAACACAAGUUUUAAGUUUGAAAGAUGCAAUUGCAUCACUCAAUGAUGAUCCCACGUUGUAUUAGCUAGUUGGUGAGGUAAAGGCUCACCAAGGCGAUGAUACAUCGCCGACCUGAGAGGGUGGUCGGCCGCAUUGGGACUGAGACACGGCCCAAACUCCUACGGGAGGCAGCCGUAGGGAAUCUUCGGCAAUGGACGGAAGUCUGACCGAGCAACGCCGCGUGAGUGAAGAAGGUUUUCGGAUCGUAAAACUCGGUUGGUAGAGAAGAACGUUGGUGAGAGUGGAAAGCUCAUCAAGUGACGGUAACUACCCAGAAAGGGACGGCUAACUACGUG
rnacentral:rRNA from 1 species